CCGCCCCCACCCGGUCGUCCCCCACCAACGCCAUAAUUCUCCCCGUCUCCGCUUCCGGCAAUAAUAAACGGCCGUGUUCAAAACCCUCCAAAUCGAAGAAAAAUACAAUAUCCAACCCCGGCCGCGAGCAAGAGCUUUGCGCUAGUAAUAAGCCUCCGUCCUCCCGCAAAACCAAAACCCGAACCUCCCUUUUCUCCUCCACUCCACUCCCCUCUCCGCCGAUCCGGUUUCUCCGCGCCCUGUCACGAAUCGCGUCCCAAUUCCGCCAUUGUUUCGGCGAUCGAGCUCCGCCAUUUCUCACCCCUGCCUUGUUGCCGGCGGUUUUGGUGCUGACGCGGCGCGGUUUGGACCGUGGCCUGUGAUUCGGGUGUCGGUGCGGUCACGGGGGUGUUGGCGCGGGCGCGGCGGCCAUCGAUGAGGCGGCGGUCGGUCCUGCCGUCCCACCACGACGACAUGGAGAAGGGCGGCGGGAAGCCGCCGCCGUCGCGCCUCUGCUUCCUCGCCACGCUUUGCGCCAUGUUCUGGGUCCUCAUCUUCUACUUCCACUUCGUCGUCAUCGGCAACGAGCCCGACGCCUCCACGGCGCAGACCGCCGCCGCCGAAGUCCUCAUUGGACACGCUGACCUCCCAUUUGCCGUACCCGACGGCGUUUCCCGCCCCGACCUUCCCCUCGCUCCGCCCGCCCGCGUCUCGGAGCCUCCACCUCCUGUCGCGCGCUCCAAGGAGGAGGAGCCCGCGGCCGGAGUCCGCAAGGAGGAGGCGCCGCCCAAGGUGGCGGCGUCGUACCCGUUCGAGCGAGCGCUCAAGACGGCGGAGAACAAGAGCGACCCGUGCGGCGGCCGCUACAUCUACGUGCACGAGCUGCCGCCGCGGUUCAACGAGGACAUGAUCCGGGAUUGCAAGAGGCUGAGCGUGUGGACCAACAUGUGCAGGUUCAUGAGCAACGACGGGCUUGGGCCGCCGUUGGGCAACGAGGAGGGAGUCUUCUCGAACACCGGGUGGUAUGCCACCAACCAAUUUUCCGUAGAUGUGAUCUUUGGCAACAGGAUGAAGCAGUAUGAGUGCCUGACCAAGGACUCGUCCAUUGCCGCGGCGGUGUUCGUGCCGUUCUAUGCUGGGUUUGAUGUGGCAAGGUAUCUCUGGGGUUAUAAUAUUUCGAUGAGGGAUGCUGCGUCGCUUGAUUUGGUGGAUUGGCUUAGGAAGAGGCCUGAGUGGAAUGUAAUGGGUGGGCGUGACCAUUUUUUGGUCGCGGGGAGGAUCACUUGGGAUUUCAGAAGGUUGACGGAGGAAGAGUCGGAUUGGGGCAACAAGCUGCUUUUCUUGCCGGCUGCGAAGAACAUGUCGAUGCUCGUUGUGGAGUCAAGCCCGUGGAACGCAAAUGAUUUUGGAAUACCAUAUCCUACAUACUUCCACCCUGCCAAGGAUGCUGAUGUUUUCCUUUGGCAGGAUAGAAUGAGGAGCUUGGAACGCCCGUGGCUCUUCUCGUUUGCAGGGGCUCCACGUCCUGGUGAUCCAAAGUCCAUCAGAGGGCAGCUCAUCGAUCAAUGCCGGAGCUCAAGUGUUUGUAAAUUGCUGGAGUGUGACCUUGGGGAGAGCAAGUGCCACUCCCCAAGCACAAUCAUGAAGAUGUUCCAGAGCUCUUUGUUCUGCUUGCAGCCCCAGGGUGAUUCCUAUACGAGAAGAUCUGCCUUUGACUCGAUGUUGGCUGGCUGCAUACCUGUUUUCUUCCAUCCUGGUUCAGCGUACGUCCAAUAUACGUGGCAUCUUCCGAAGAACUAUACAAGGUACUCUGUGUUUAUCCCUGAAGAUGACAUCCGUAUGAGAAAUGCCAGCAUUGAGGAAAGGCUAAAAAGUAUUCACCCAGAUAUGGUCAAGAAAAUGAGAGAAGAGGUCAUCAAUCUCAUACCAAGGGUGAUAUAUGCUGAUCCAAGGUCGAAACUGGAAACCCUCAAAGACGCAUUUGAUGUUUCUGUAGAUGCAAUUAUCAACAAAGUGACAAAGUUGAGGAGAGAUAUCAUCGCAGACUGUGAAGAUAAAGAUUUUAUUGAAGAGAAUAGCUGGAAGUAUGAUCUGUUAGAAGAUGGGCAACAUACAAUUGGACCUCACGAAUGGGAUCCAUUCUUCUCGAAGCCCAAGGACAAAGGUGGAGAUUCUAGUAGUUCGUCUGCUGAAGCUGCCAAGAAUUCCUGGAGAAUUGAACAAAGAAGUCAGAAUUAAACCACAAGUUAGUUCAUCUUGGAGAUGAGAUCAUGGCAGCAGAGAAGCGUACAUUGGUGUCAAACUGUCACUUAUCUAAUGGCUGUUAAUUGAAUUGUUGCACGAAGACGUUCCUUCUUCAAACAAGGUUGGUGCUGAAGUUGGCACCAAAAAGCGCGGCAUUGUUCCGAUGUUUGGAAUCAAAUUUGGGCCCAUGCAAGCAAGCGAUGGUGUCACCUCAAAGCAUAGGAUCCAACUGACGGCAUAAAGCGUUGCAUCUUUAUUCAGGCAUGCUAGCUCAUUGUUGCAUCUUGAUUCUUGGAAAGGAUGGGUUUUUAGGGCAUGUUUGGUUCUAGCCGGCGCUCGCCCGAUCAAACCUGGCACGCCAAAAAAUUGACGUGAAAAAUGAACUGGCGGCCGACACGGGGGCGUGAGCGAGCCAACAACCGGCCCCAAACCAAACACAGUGCUCCAGCGAGAUCAAUGCCAGAAAAUUGGUGGGGCGAGCGCCGGCUCCAAACCGAGCAUACCCAUAAAGCCAUGAAGCUGAAAGUUUUUGCAGGCCAAACUAGGCCGUAAUUAUAAUAUGGAGUCUGUCUCUAACCCAUCGUAAUGGGCCGAACAUAAGAGAACAGAGCUAGCGUGUUACAGCCCAUCUGCAGCCAAUCUUCGUCUCUCUGGAAUUCUGGAUGGCGCAUGUUCUGUUUUCUUCGACCGUAAAGGCAACAGCUCCAGCGGGCCUCCAAUUGGUAGAAAAUCUUCAGGGCAAAUGUUAUCUGCUGUAAUCUAAAAGGUACCCGGAGUCCGGCGACGUCGUGAACACCGGCUUGUCCUUGUCCACGACGGUGGUGGCCACCGUGGCGCUACUGCUCUUCCGGCGCGGUUUGGCCUCGCAGAGCAUGGUCACC